rfam:Syntrophothermus lipocalidus DSM 12680, complete genome.
GGUCAAGCGUAGUAAGGGCGUACGGUGGAUGCCUAGGCGCUAGGAGGCGAAGAAGGGCGUGGCAAGCUGCGAAAAGCCACGGGGAGCUGCAAGCGAGCGAAGAUCCGUGGAUACCCGAAUGGGGGAACCCGGUACCUGGGAACAGGUAUCAUCCCUACCUGAACACAUAGGGUAGGAGAGGCGAGACCCGGCGAACUGAAACAUCUUAGUAGCCGGAGGAGAAGAAAGCAAGAGCGAUUCCCUUAGUAGCGGCGAGCGAAAGGGGAAGAGCCUAAACCGUGCAGGUGUUAAAGGCUGCAGUCGUUGCCUGUACGGGGUAGAGGGGAUGUUCGAGGUAGAGCUGCAGAUUUACCGGAGCCGAAGGCUGUUUAGGAGAACGAGGCUGGAAAGCCUGACCACAGAGGGUGAAAGUCCCGUAUUCGGAAAGCAGUUGUAGGUUCUAGAGCAUACCCCGAGUACCGCUGGACACGUGGUAUCCGGUGGGAAUCAGGGAGGACCACCUCCUAAGGCUAAAUACUACCUAGCGACCGAUAGCGCAUAGUACCGUGAGGGAAAGGUGAAAAGCACCCCGGGAGGGGAGUGAAAUAGAACCUGAAACCGUAUGCCUACAAGCAGUCAGAGUCUGGCACUCAACUCAGUGCUCAUUUGCAGAUUAAGAGGGAGUUAUGGACCCGGGAGGGUAAGUAAGGGAUAAGAGUGGAGUGGGCAGCGAGUUGAGUGCCGGAUGAUGGCGUACUUUUUGUAGAACGGGCCGGCGAGUUACGGUAGCAAGCGAGGUUAAGCCUGAUUAAGGGUGGAGCCGAAGCGAAAGCGAGUCUGAAGAGGGCGAAUAGUUUGCUGCUGUAGACCCGAAACCGGGUGAUCUACCCAUGUCCAGGGUGAAGCGGUGGUAAAGCAUCGUGGAGGCCCGAACCAGAUGGCGUUGAAAAGCCAGUGGAUGAGGUGUGGGUAGGGGUGAAAUGCCAAUCGAACCCGGAGAUAGCUGGUUCUCCCCGAAAUAGCUUUAGGGCUAGCCUCAGGGGUUUCUUAGCGGAGGUAGAGCACUGGUUGGGCUAGGGGCCUUACCCGGUUACCGAACCUUCCCAAACUGCGAAUGCCGUUAAGUGAACCCUGGGAGUCAGACUAUGGGUGAUAAGGUUCAUAGUCGAGAGGGAAACAGCCCAGACCGCCAGUUAAGGUCCCAAAUCCAGGCUAAGUGGGAAAGGAAGUGGGGUUGCGAAGACAGCCAGGAUGUUGGCUUAGAAGCAGCCAUCAUUCAAAGAGUGCGUAAUAGCUCACUGGUCAAGUGACCCUGCGCCGAAAAUGUAACGGGGCUCAAGUCUGGAACCGAAGCUGCGGAUAUGGAGGUUGGAGGCCAGAGGUAGGAAGUAGGAAGAGGGGCUAAAGAGACCUGGAGGACAGAGCAUAUGGCUAUUAGAGGAUAUGAAGACCUAGAGGUAUACCAACUUGGGUACCAACUGGCAAUGAUGGUACAUCGGAAGAGCCAGGAGAUGCCAGCGAGUGAGAGAUACGAACUAGGUCGACAGAUUCGGAAGGCGGCGAUAUCAGUACCGGCCAAUAUAGCGGAAGGAUAUGGUCGCAAGGAUUCUGCAAAAGAGUUCAAGCACUUUCUUAGGAACGCUAUGGGUUCAGUAAACGAGGUACAGGUUUAUAUAGACAUGAAUGAAGGACCUGGGAUAUGUAGAUGGAAGGGCCCAUGAGGAACUAAGGAGUGGGUAUGCUCUGUUAGGGAAGAAACUAUACCAUUUGAUAAAGAGUUGGAACAGAGAUGAAUGAUCCGACUUCCGACUUCCGGCCUCCAACUUCCAUGUGGUAGGGGAGCGUUCUUACUGGGCAGAAGCCAUACCGUAAGGAAUGGUGGACUGGUAAGAAGAGAGAAUGCCGGCAUGAGUAAGCGAGAAGGCAGGUGAGAAUCCUGUCCGCCGAAAGCCUAAGGUUUCCUGGGGAAGGCUCGUCCACCCAGGGUAAGCCGGGACCUAAGCCGAGGCCGAAAGGCGUAGGUGAUGGAGAAUCGGUUGAGAAUCCGAUGCCACCUUCAGACCGAUUGAGCGAAGGGGUGACGCAGGAGGGUAGGCGAAGCGCACGGAUGGAAAAGUGCGUCCAAGCCCGUAGGGUGCAAGGCAGGCAAAUCCGCCUUGCGGAGAGCCUGAGGGGUGACGGGGAGCGAAUAUUAGUAGCGAAGUCGCUGAACCCAAACUGCCAAGAAAAGCCUCUAGCGAGGUUUGGGGUGCCCGUACCGCAAACCGACACAGGUAGGCGAGGAGAGAAUCCUAAGGCGCGCGAGAGAACCCUCGUUAAGGAACUCGGACAAAAUCGGCCCCGUAACUUCGGGAGAAGGGGUACCCCGAUAGUGUAGCCGUAAUAUACUUAUGGUGGCACGAGGGGGUCGCAGUGACCAGGCCCAGGCGACUGUUUACCAAAAACACAGGUCUCUGCAAAAUCGAAAGAUGAAGUAUAGAGGCUGACGCCUGCCCGGUGCCGGAAGGUUAAGGGGAAGGGUUAUCCGGCACUCAAUGGUCUUUACCAGGAGGAGAUAAAGUGUACUACGUGUAUGUAUUAGUAAGCGAAGAGGGAAAGACGUAUCUAGGAUACACGUCAGACCUCAAGCGGCGGAUACAGGAGCACAAUGAAGGCAGGAACAAGUGGACACGUGGGCACAGAAGGAGAUUAGCAUACUAUGAAGCGUAUGCGAGCGAUGCGGACGCAAGGAGAAGGGAAAGGAAUCUCAAGCGUUCGGGACAGGCCAGAAGAUGGCUUAGGGAGCGCAUACGGGAGAGCGUGAAGUAGAGACCAUUGAGUGCCGGAGAAGCUCUGAACCGAAGCCCCGGUGAACGGCGGCCGUAACUAUAACGGUCCUAAGGUAGCGAAAUUCCUUGUCGGGUAAGUUCCGACCCGCACGAAAGGCGUAACGAUCUGGGCGCUGUCUCGACGAGGGGCUCGGUGAAAUUGUAAUACCGGUGAAGAUGCCGGUUACCUGCGACAGGACAGAAAGACCCCGUGGAGCUUUACUGUAGCCUGAUAUUGGAUUUUGGCAGGUCAUGUACAGGAUAGGUGGGAGGCUGGGAAGCAGGGCCGCCAGGUUCUGUGGAGCCGUUGGUGGGAUACCACUCUUGGCUUGCUGGAGUUCUAACCUGCCCCCGUGAGCCGGGGGAGGGACAGUGUCAGGUGGGCAGUUUGACUGGGGCGGUCGCCUCCUAAAGGGUAACGGAGGCGCCCAAAGGUUCCCUCAGCGCGGAUGGAAAUCGCGCGUAGAGUGCAAAGGCAGAAGGGAGCUUGACUGCGAGAGGGACGCUUCGAGCAGGGACGAAAGUCGGGCUUAGUGAUCCGGCGGUACCGAGUGGAAGGGCCGUCGCUCAACGGACAAAAGCUACCCCGGGGAUAACAGGCUUAUCUCCCCCAAGAGUCCACAUCGACGGGGAGGUUUGGCACCUCGAUGUCGGCUCAUCGCAUCCUGGGGCUGGAGAAGGUCCCAAGGGUUGGGCUGUUCGCCCAUUAAAGCGGUACGUGAGCUGGGUUCAGAACGUCGUGAGACAGUUCGGUCCCUAUCCGUCGCAGGCGCAGGAGAAUUGAGGGGAGCUGUCCCUAGUACGAGAGGACCGGGAUGGACAGACCGCUGGUGUACCAGUUGUUCCGCCAGGGGCACAGCUGGGUAGCUAUGUCUGGAACGGAUAAGCGCUGAAAGCAUCUAAGCGCGAAGCCGACCCCAAGAUGAGUUCUCCCACCCGGCACUCAACCAGGCACUUAGCAGGAAGCGAGGAUUGUAUCAGCGGAUGCUGGUAGAAGAGGCAAGCGAGAUGUUAGGUGUCGGGUUGAGUGCCGGGGUAAGACCCCAGCAAGACUAGCUGGUAGAUAGGCCGGGGGUGUAAGCACAGCAAUGUGUUGAGCCGACCGGUACUAAUAGGUCGAGGGCUUGACCUA